rnacentral:rRNA from 1 species
ACACAAAAUGACUCUCGGCAACGGAUAUCUCGGCUCUUGCAUCGAUGAAGAACGUAGCGAAAUGCGAUACUUGGUGUGAAUUGCAGAAUCCCGUGAACCAUCGAGUCUUUGAACGCAAGUUGCGCCCGAAGCCAUUAGGUUGAGGGCACGCCUGCCUGGGUGUCACAC